rnacentral:rRNA from 1 species
GAUGAACGCUAGCGGCAGGCUUAACACAUGCAAGUCGAGGGGUAUGCCGAUUUAUCGGCAGAGACCGGCGCACGGGUGCGUAACGCGUAUGCAAUCUACCUUUCACAGAGGAUAGCCCGAGAGAAAUUUGGAUUAAUACCUCAUAGUAUAGCAGUUUACGCGAUGAAACCACUAUUAAAGUUCCAACGGUGAAAGAUGAGCAUGCGUCCCAUUAGCUAGAUGGUAAGUAACGGCUUACCAUGGCUACGAUGGGUAGGGGUCCUGAGAGGGAGAUCCCCCANACUGGUACUGGAGACACGGA